UAAAAAGUAAGCUAAUAAAGCUUUUGGGUUCAUACCUCAACUAUAGAAUUAAUUCUCUUUUUAA
rnacentral:tRNA from 3 species